rnacentral:lncRNA from 1 species
UGAAUUGAAGUAGUAAUAUAAGUCAAAUAAUUAAAAGGCUCUACAUAAUACAGCCUAAUAAUUAAUUAAGAGUGAGCUUGAAUUAAAAUAAAUAAUUACAAUUCAUAUAUAUAAAUUUAGAGUCCAAAUAAAAUAAUUAAAUUUGGACUGAAUAGUUAUUACAAGGCCCAACUGAGAUGAGAUUGUUGAGCUCAAAUAAUUAAAUAAAUUUGGGCCCAAAUGAAAUGGUAGCAGCCCAACUAAAAUAAUUAAUACUGGGCCCAAGUUAGAUAAUUAAACUUAGCCCAAUUAGUAAAAAAAAAAGAAAGGCCCAAAAUAAUUAAAAGCAAACCCAAAUCUAUUAUCUCUCCCACUCGGUCUCUCUCUCUUCUCAAAACAGGCGCCCCAUUUGGUUCUCUCUCUCUCUC